CCUACGGGUGGCUGCAGUGGGGAAUAUUGGACAAUGGGGGCAACCCUGAUCCAGCCAUGCCGCGUGUGUGAAGAAGGCCCUCGGGUUGUAAAGCACUUUCAGUGAGGAAGGACGCCUGGUGGUUAAUACCCAUCAGGAAAGACAUCACUCACAGAAGAAGCACCGGCUAACUCCGUGCCAGCAGCCGCGGUAAUACGGAGGGUGCGAGCGUUAAUCGGAAUUACUGGGCGUAAAGCGCGCGUAGGUGGCUUGAUAAGCCGGUUGUGAAAGCCCCGGGCUCAACCUGGGAACGGCAUCCGGAACUGUCAAGCUAGAGUGCAGGAGAGGAAGGUAGAAUUCCCGGUGUAGCGGUGAAAUGCGUAGAGAUCGGGAGGAAUACCAGUGGCGAAGGCGGCCUUCUGGACUGACACUGACACUGAGGUGCGAAAGCGUGGGUAGCAAACAGGAUUAGAUACCCUAGUAGUC
rnacentral:rRNA from 1 species